GCCACCGCCACCGCGGCUGCCUUUAUACCGCGGGCCCGGAGCAUUCCGGCCCCUUGGGAGGGAGACAACAAAGCCGGGAUGGGAUUUCAAAGCGCUGGGAGGGGCUGGGAGGGGGUGUGUUUGUGUACAUGAAGGGGGGCCUUUGACACUCUUCACCCCGCCCCUCCCUUGCUUAGUCGCUCGGCUGGCCCGGCUCACCUUCGGGGUGAAGGCUACCAGCGAGCGUUAUAGCAGACGACUUUAAUAAAUGCAGGCGGCAGCAGGAACUCUGGGAACUUGGGUGCCCUUGCCUGGCAGUAAGGGUUGAAUUAUCCGGAUCUGAAAUACUUUACAGAGCCGAGGGGUGAUAGGCUCUGCAAAAGCACUUUUUGCCCCUCUCCUUUAUGCCAAUACUCGCUGACUGUGCACACAAGUCAUAUUCAGUAUUAAAUACAAACCGGUCUGUAAUUCAAUGGCUCUAGCAAGACGCCUCUGAGAGGGCCAGGUGGCGGGUGCAAGUUGCUCAUUAACCCUUUAGAGUCGCAGUUUGCAGAUCUGAGUUAGAUCCCCGGCUUUGAGGUCCUUCAGUUGCCCUCCUCCCCCACCUCCCCCCGCCACUGCGAGAAAAAUGUGCAAAGAGAAGGAAAUUUGCACAUCAAACGAGGGGCAAUCGCGGCGGUAGAUGAACUUGAUUAGGCAGACGCGUGAGAUCAAAGUGGCCGGGACCAAAGCGGACAGGGUCCAACGUGCCAGCACUGCCAAGAGAAGGCCUUUUGUACUCAGGUUAAAUAAGAACAUCCUGCAAGGAGUCUGUUCUUUUAUGCAGCCUAAAGAUCAAGUAAUAAUCAUUGACACUGAUACUGAGCAUGUCGAUUUUGAAGAGACUAGCAUUUCCUGGUAAUGAAGUGGAGUAUAUAUCCAUAUAUUUCUGUUUUCUGGAUGAGAAGACUAACCUAACUAAGUAGGAACCUUGAAGAAUCAUGUUCUUCCUAGGAAUUACAAAUCCCCCGAUUCCAUGUCUAACAUAAUUUCUACUGGCCUCUUUGCUUCUCAUGCUUUAGUACCAGUGCUUCUGAAUUUGAAAGUCUUCAUGCAAAUUGCCCAGGUUUGCUGGCAGCUGUGUCUCAGAAAAAGCUGUCUUCAGCAAGGCAGAAGCAGAGGAUCUUCUAGAAGAUUUGCACUAUCAGCUUGGUAUUCAGUUCUCUAGCUUGAAAUGAUUUCAGUGCCUGCUGGCAGUGCCUCCUAUAAAUAUUUAUUAAAAGCGGCAAGAUCACGGAGGUCUCUGGAGCGAAAUCACAGCCAGGUUUUAUGAAAACAGAUCCGAGAAGCUGAGA
rnacentral:lncRNA from 1 species